rnacentral:ncRNA from 2 species
GUUCGCCUAACCGAAGGACGAUGGGGCAAGCCGGUGCGACUCCGGCGCUGACCCGCAACCGUGAUGCCGCUCCCGCCGCGACCAGGCGAGGGGUGACCAGCCGGAAAACCCGC